AUUGAACGCUGGCGGCAUGCUUUACACAUGCAAGUCGAACGGUAACAGGCCUUCUGGUUCUGACGAGUGGCGAACGGGUGAGUAAUGCGGCGGAACGUACCCAGAGGGGGGGGAUAACGCAGCGAAAGCUGUGCUAAUACCGCAGGUGUUCUGAGGGUGAAAGCGGGGGACCGGUCAGCGAGGUUGGGCCUCGCGCUUUUGUAGCGGGCGAUGUCGGAUUAGCUUGUGGGUGGGGUAAAGGGCUACCGAGGCGACGAUCCGGAGCGGGUCUGAGAGGACGACCAGCCACACUGGGACUGAGACACGGCCCCGACUCCGACGGGAGGCAGCAGCGGGGAAUUUUAGACAAUGGGAGCAAGCGUGAUCCAGAAAUGCCGAGGGCGGGAAGAAGGCCUCCGGGUUGUAGACCGAUUUUGGCAGGAACGAAACGGUGUCCGCUAAUACCGGGCGCUAAUGACGGUACCUGCAGAAUAAGCACCGGCUAACUACGUG
rnacentral:rRNA from 1 species